rnacentral:rRNA from 1 species
UACGUAGGGGGCAAGCGUUGUCCGGAUUUAUUGGGCGUAAAGAGCUCGUAGGUGGUUCGGUAAGUCGGAUAUGAAAUCUCCAGGCUCAACCUGGAGGGGUCAUUCGAUACUGCCGUGACUAGAGGUCGGUAGGGGAGUGUGGAAUUCCUGGUGGAGCGGUGAAAUGCGCAGAUAUCAGGAGGAACACCCGUAGCGAAGGCGGCACUCUGGGCCGAUACUGACACUGAGGAGCGAAAGCGUGGGGAGCGAACAGG